UUGGAGGGCAAGUCUGGUGCCCGCAGCCGCGGUAAUUCCAGCUCCAAUAGCGUAUAUUAAAGUUGUUGCAGUUAAAGAGCUCGUAGUUGAAUUUCGGGAUUGGCGCAUCGGUCGUGCCUCACGGGGUAUGAACUGGUGCAGUCAAUUUCUCACCUUCUGGAGAACCGCGAUGUCCUUAAUUGGAUGCCGUGGGGAACCAGGACCUUUACUUUGAAAAAAUUAGAGUGUUUAAAGCAGGCAUUUUUGCCUGAAUACAUUAGCAUGGAAUAAUAAAAUAGGACGGCAUGGUUCUAUUUUGUUGGUUUCUAGGACCACCGUAAUGAUUAAUAGGGAUAGCUGGGGGCAUUAGUAUUCAAUUGUCAGAGGUGAAAUUCUUGGAUUUAUUGAAGACUAACUACUGCGAAAGCAUUUGCCAAGGAUGUUUUCAUUAAUCAAGAACGAAAGUUAGGGGAUCGAAGACGAUCAGAUACCGUCGUAGUCUUAACCAUAAACUAUGCCGACUAGGAAUCAGACGAUGUUAAUUUUUUAAUGACUCGUUUGGCACCUUACGGGAAACCAAAGUGUUUGGGUUC
rnacentral:rRNA from 1 species